GCGACCCCNGGUCAGGCGGGNCUACCCGCUGAAUUUAAGCAUAUAAAU
rnacentral:rRNA from 1 species